rnacentral:misc_RNA from 1 species
AAAUCUCAACCUUCUCGGUUUCUUCUGAACACCGAAGGAGGCUUGGACUUUGGAGGCCUUUGCUGGCGUCUCUCUCUUUUGAAGGCCAGCUCCUCUUAAAUGAAUUAGCGGGGUCCUCUUUGCCAGUCCUCGACGUGUGAUAAGAUGUUUCCAUGUCUUGGCUUCUGGCUCUGUUGCUUUUGGGACCCGCUUCUAACCGUCUCAACCUUUCAUUGAGACAAUGUUUGAGCAUGUCUCCCUUCUUGGGAAACACUCUCAACCCCACGAAC